GACGAACCGUGCGAACGUUGUUCGGAUUCACUGGGCUUAAAGGCGCGUAGGCGGGUUGUCAAGUCAGGGGUGAAAGCCUCCAGCUCAACUGGAGAAGUGCCUUUGAUACUGAUGAUCUUGAGGGAGGUAGGGGCAUGUGGAACUUCCGGUGGAGCGGUGAAAUGCGUAGAUAUCGGAAGGAACGCCGGUGGCGAAAGCGACGUGCUGGACCUCUUCUGACGCUGAGGCGCGAAAGCUAGGGGAGCAAACGGG
rnacentral:rRNA from 1 species